ACUGCAAAAGGGAGUAAUAAAAAUGUCUGUCAUGUACAGAGAAGAUUAACAUGGCUCCUGCGCAAGGAUGACAUGCGAAUUCGUGAAUCGUUCCAUAUUUUU